GCACCGCCGGCACCGAUAGGGUGAUGACCAACUCAAAGCCCGACGCACGUUCAGUGUUGGGCUACGCUGCCGCCAUUGUAAUGUCGGUCGGGGAUGAUGUCUGAGGCCUCUUGGGGGGCCGCGAAGGUCCGACCUUGGGUGCCGGUCUCUUCCUCAUCGCAUGUUGCCGAAUGUCGGCAUCUGUCAGUCUCACUCUCGGCGGCAUGCCUGCAAUUUCAAUGAA
rnacentral:lncRNA from 1 species